UCUCCAGCUAUUCGGCCCACCGUCCUGAAUGUUGCACUUUACCACUUUCUGCAGAAAAAAAUAACAGAAGAGAAUAUAGGAAAUUCACAGAAACUUUAUAUGAAAUAGUUCAAUUGUCGUUAAAAAAUUUGAAAAUUUCCCGUGUUCCAACAAAGCCCCGACUCAGGAAUAAAAGAGCGAUCCAUCAUGAAAUUCUUGUUGAGGCACACUACCUUGUACUAGACAGCAAUUUUACUUUACCCAACUGACGAGGAUGAGAGUAUCACCAGCCAGCACAAACUGGUCACAUGAGUCAUGACUUCUGGUCUUGACCCAUAAGACUCGAUGCUUUCUCAUCAAGGGAGAUGGCUGCUGUUGUGAUCAUAACGUUCAAUCUCCUUUCUGGUCGGUUGACGCAGCAGGGCGUCGGAGACGUAUACUACUCAGUAAUGAUCGAGGCCCAGAUACAUCAUUGGCAAGCGUGAACUCCAGAUCAAAAUAUACAUCUCUAUCGCCAGAUGCUCACCAAUACAGUAUAUUUUGAUGCCAGGGCACAGGUAUGCGUGCUCUAGAUUAAACAGAUCGAGGCCACGAACAAAUGCCAAUGCAAACUAAAACAAGGCAAUCAAACAGUACUAAAUUGUUUGUACUCCUUAUCACCAACCUUGGAUCCAUCAAAUAAACUUGCGAUUUGAUUA